rnacentral:rRNA from 1 species
GUGGGGAAUAUUGGACAAUGGGCGCAAGCCUGGUCCAGCCAUGCCGCGUGAGUGAUGAAGGCCCUAGGGUUGUAAAGCUCUUUCACCGGUGAAGAUAAUGACGGUAACCGGAGAAGAAGCCCCGGCUAACUUCGUGCCAGCAGCCGCGGUAAUACGAAGGGGGCUAGCGUUGUUCGGAAUUACUGGGCGUAAAGCGCACGUAGGCGGACAUUUAAGUCAGGGGUGAAAUCCCGGGGCUCAACCUUGGAAUUGCCUUUGAUACUGGCUGUCUUGAGUACGGGAGAGGUGAGUGGAACUCCGAGUGUAGAGGUGAAAUUCGUAGAUAUUCGGAAGAACACCAGUGGCGAAGGCGACUCACUGGCCCGUUACUGACGCUGAGGCGCGAAAGUGUGGGGAGCAAACAGGAUUAGAUACCCGUGUAGUCC